rnacentral:rRNA from 1 species
GAUGAACGCUGGCGGCGUGCUUAACACAUGCAAGUCGAACGGAAAGGCCCAAGCUUGCUUGGGUACUCGAGUGGCGAACGGGUGAGUAACACGUGGGUGAUCUGCCCUGCACUUCGGGAUAAGCCUGGGAAACUGGGUCUAAUACCGGAUAGGACGAUGGUUUGGAUGCCAUUGUGGAAAGUUUUUUCGGUGUGGGAUGAGCUCGCGGCCUAUCAGCCUGUUGGUGGGGUAAUGGCCUACCAAGGCGUCGACGGGUAGCCGGCCUGAGAGGGUGUACGGCCACAUUGGGACUGAGAUACGGCCCAGACUCCUACGGGAGGCAGCAGUGGGGAAUACUGCACAAUGGGCGCAAGCCUGAUGCAGCGACGCCGCGUGGGGGAUGACGGCCUUCGGGUUGUAAACUCCUUUCGCUAGGGACGAAGCGUUUUUGUGACGGUACCUGGAGAAGAAGCACCGGCUAACUACGUG